rnacentral:rRNA from 1 species
UACGUAGGGGGCGAGCGUUAUCCGGAAUUAUUGGGCGUAAAGAGCUCGUAGGCGGUUUGUCGCGUCUGCCGUGAAAGUCCGGGGGCUCAACUCCGGAUCUGCGGUGGGUACGGGCAGACUAGAGUGAUGUAGGGGAGACUGGAAUUCCUGGUGUAGCGGUGAAAUGCGCAGAUAUCAGGAGGAACACCGAUGGCGAAGGCAGGUCUCUGGGCAUUAACUGACGCUGAGGAGCGAAAGCAUGGGGAGCGAACAGG